UACAGAGGUCUCAAGCGUUGUUCGGAUUCAUUGGGCGUAAAGGGUGUGUAGGUGGCGCCGUAAGUCGGGGUGUGAAAUUUCGGAGCUUAACUCCGAAACUGCAUUCGAUACUGCGGUGCUUGAGGACUGGAGAGGAGACUGGAAUUCAUGGUGUAGCAGUGAAAUGCGUAGAGAUCAUGAGGAAGACCAGUGGCGAAGGCGGGUCUCUGGACAGUUCCUGACGCUGAGGCACGAAGGUCAGGGGAGCAAACAGG
rnacentral:rRNA from 1 species